UCGCAGGCAGCCAGGCCUGGGAAAUCUGUCCCCGAAGUCAAACGCAUACCUAACCAGAAACCAGGGAGCACACAGUGGUUUGUAGCUGCUGAAAUGAGGUCACACCAGUUGGUGUACCUGGCGGCAAUAGGACCCAGACUGGAAGACUACCUGAAGAAUCAUUCCAAAACCCAAGGGUAGAGAUACCCCCAGUGAAAUCAGAUCAGAGGAACUGUGGACAGGGGAAGAGCUUCCAUCUGCGACCAGUCCUUUCUCCACAACAGAGAGUUCCUCAAGAAGUGAGACUCCAUAAAUGUGAAAUA